GGCGAUCAGAUACCGCCCUAGUUCUGACCGUAAACGAUGCCAACUAGCGAUCCGCCAGUCGACUCAUCGCUCUGGUGGGGAGCUUCCCGGAAACGAAAGUCUUCCGGUUCCGGGGGAAGUAUGGUUGCAAAGCUGAAACUUAAAGGAAUUGACGGAAGGGCACCACCAGGAGUGGAGCCUGCGGCUUAAUUUGACUCAACACGGGGAAACUCACCCGGCCCGGACACCGUAAGGAUUGACAGAUUGAUAGCUUUUUCAUGAUUCGGUGGAUGGUGGUGCAUGGCCGUUCUUAGUUCGUGGAGCGAUUUGUCUGGUUUAUUCCGAUAACGAGCGAGACUCUGGCCUACUAAAUAGUUGACGCAUUGCCACUGUGCGCACAACUUCUUAGAGGGAUUUUCGGCGUUUUCAACCGCACGAAAUUGAGCAAUAACAGGUCUGUGAUGCCCUUAGAUGUCCGGGGCUGCACGCGCGCUACACUGGCAAACGCAACGUGCCUGUCCUGCCCCGAAAGGAGCGGGUAAACCCCUGAAAUUUUGCCGUGAUUGGGAUCGGACAUUGCAACUAUUGUCCGUGAACGAGGAAUUCCUUGUAGGGGCGAGUCAUCAACUCGUCCCGAAUACGUCCCUGCCCUUG
rnacentral:rRNA from 1 species